AAAUAAACCCUAGCCGCUUUCCAUGAGAAAAAAGAGAGAUAAAAGAGAGAAAGGCUAGAUAGUCAAGGUUGCCAAGACGUCGUUGUUGUUAGAGGUUGUCGCCGAUGUUUGUAAACUGAGAUUUCAUAGUGUAGUUUUGGUCCUUAAAGGAAUAGAGGAGACGGUCAAAACCACCAUAUGUGUUCGCUGCACCAGAGUCACC